rnacentral:rRNA from 1 species
CGCCAGACUCCUACGGGAGGCAGCAGUGGGGAAUAUUGCACAAUGGGGGAAACCCUGAUGCAGCGACGCCGCGUGAAGGAAGAAGUAUUUCGGUAUGUAAACUUCUAUCAGCAGGGAAGAAAAUGACGGUACCUGACUAAGAAGCCCCGGCUAACUACGUGCCAGCAGCCGCGGUAAUACGUAGGGGGCAAGCGUUAUCCGGAUUUACUGGGUGUAAAGGGAGCGUAGGCGGUAAUGCAAGUCAGAAGUGAAAGCCCGGGGCUCAACCUGUGGCCUGCAUUUGAAACUGUUUUUCUUGAGUACUGGAGAGGCAGACGGAAUUCCUAGUGUAGCGGUGAAAUGCGUAGAUAUUAGGAGGAACACCGGUGGCGAAGGCGGCCUGCUGGACUGUAACUGACGUUGAGGCUCGAAAGCGUGGGGAGCAAACAGGAUUAGAUACCCGAGUACG